UCUGACCGUGCAAAGGUAGCGUAAUCACUUGUUCUUUAAAUAAGGACUAGUAUCAACGGCAUCACGAGGGUUAUACUGUCUCCUUUCUCCAAUCAGUGAAACUGAUCUUCCCGUGAAGAAGCGGGAAUAUAGUUAUAAGACGAGAAGACCCCAUGGAGCUUUAAAUUCUAUAGCAACUCAAUUAAAUAAUCCCUCACAGUAUAUAGAGCCAUGCGUAUUAAUUUUAGGUUGGGGUGACCGCGGAGUAAAAACUAACCUCCACGACGAAAAGAACUAAAUCUUUAUCUGAGAGCCACAGCUCUAAGAAUUAGUAAACUAACGAUAAUGAUCCGACAAUCGAUCAACGAACCAAGUUACCCUGGGGAUAACAGCGCAAUCUACUUUAAGAGCCCAUAUCGACAAGUAGGCUUACGACCUCGAUGUUGGAUCAGGGUAUCCCAGUGGUG
rnacentral:rRNA from 1 species